rnacentral:rRNA from 2 species
UUGACCUCAAAUCGGGUGAGACUACCCGCUGAACUUAAGCAUACA